UCUCCCCAUCAAGCCCAGCAGGACCUGGAGCAGGUGAGGGCUGAGUCUCCCACCCCUUUUCUGCAAGGAAAGAGCUAUGGAAUCCCAAACCAGCCUGAAGAAACCUGGCUACUGCCCAAGAGCCAGAGGCUCCUCCAGAGGAAUGAGGCAGAGGAUGAGGGCAGGAUGGCAUCCACCAGCAUCUUCGCCUCCUUCGCCACCCACUCCUCCGCUCUCCUGCGUGAUGCUGCAGGAGGAGGAGGAGGAAAACCCCAUGGUGGUAGAGCUGGUGCCAGUCACCUUUGGCUUCUGAAGGUGGCGAUGCUGACUGCCCUGCUGCACCGCCACUUCUGCUCCCGAGGUCCCUGGCUCCAUGCCUUUCCCUCAUGCAUCACCAGCAUGGCUCAGUCAGAGCUUCGCAGCUGCUGUGGGCUGAGGCUGUCACACCCUGGGGCGUGCGGGAGCUGUCCCGCUGCCCGUGCCACGCGUGUCCCGCUGUCCCUGCCGUGUCCCGCUGCCCCGCGCCGUGUCCCGUGCCGUGUCCCGUGCCGUGUCCCGCUGUCCCUGCCGUGUCCCGCUGCCCGUGCCACGCGUGUCCCGCUGCCCCGUGCCGUGUCCCGCUGCCCCGUGCCGUGUCCCGCUGUCCCUGCCGUGUCCCGCUGCCCCGUGCCGUGUCCCGCUGCCCCGUGCCGUGUCCCGCUGCCCCGUGCCGUGUCCCGCUGUCCCUGCCGUGUCCCGGUGCCCUGCCGUGUCCCGCUGUCCCUGCCGUGUCCCGCUGCCCUGCCCUGCCUCUCCCUGCUUCACCGCCGUGUCCCCAGCGGCUUCCCUCUCCCGCCGGGACGCAGGUGCUGGCCCUGGCUCACCCCGAGCGGAGGUUCCUUUCUCCACCCUUCCUGUAAGUGCCCACCGCAGGGUUCCCGCUCGGCUCACCUCCUUGUAAUGGAUUUCUGCCUCUUCCCGACCACAGAAGCUGCAACUUGACAGCAGUUCGAGCCGGUUUUCUCCUCGCUCCUGCCGCGCCGAGCGCUGGGCAAUGCCUCUGGCAGAGCCAGCUGCGGCAGCAGGCACUGACCGGGCACGCCGAGCCGGUGUGGUGCUG